GGUCGGGGCUCAGUGGUAGAGCGUUUGCCUAGCACGCAUGAGGCACUGGGUUCGAUUCCCAGCACCA
rnacentral:tRNA from 1 species